UACGUAGGGGGCAAGCGUUGUCCGGAUUUAUUGGGCGUAAAGAGCGUGUAGGCGGCCUGAAAGGUCAGCUGUGAAAACUCGAGGCUCAACCUCGAGACGUCGGUUGAAACCAUCUGGCUAGAGUCCGGAAGAGGAGUGUGGAAUUCCCGGUGUAGCGGUGAAAUGCGCAGAUAUCAGGAGGAACACCGGUGGCGAAGGCGGGGUCUCUGGGCCGAUACUGACGCUGGAGGAGCGAAAGCGUGGGGAGCGAACAGG
rnacentral:rRNA from 1 species